rnacentral:rRNA from 1 species
UACGUAGGGUGCAAGCGUUGUCCGGAAUUACUGGGCGUAAAGCGUGCGCAGGCGGUGAUGUAAGACAGAUGUGAAAUCCCCGGGCUCAACCUGGGAACUGCAUUUGUGACUGCAUCGCUGGAGUGCGGCAGAGGGGGAUGGAAUUCCGCGUGUAGCAGUGAAAUGCGUAGAUAUGCGGAGGAACACCGGUGGCGAAGGCGGCAUCCUGGACCGACACUGACGCUGAGGCGCGAAAGCCAGGGGAGCAGACGGG